AAGAAGGGGAAUUCAGGGAGAAUUUGAACACAUGCAAAACGUGUUUCACAUGGUUCACGUGUUAAUCAGACCCAGUCAGAAACAUCUUUCAUCUCUCCUCCUCCACCAUACCGAAGCUCGUCACCGGCGGUGGUGGAUCAUCAGACAUCAAAACCAGUCAUACUAGCUCACCCCAAAUUUCAAGCCAAAAAUUAAUCCAACAUCAAUUCACUCUGAAUCUUCCUAGAUUUUCCAGAUAAAGCAAGAACAGUCAAGAACCCUAGUUACUAAAUCAAAAAUUAAAUGAUGGAUUAGAGGAAUCAAAUUCCCUGAUGUUAGGGCUUUGAUUCCUCGACUAUCACUCUACAUGAUGGUAACUUGUAUGCAACAAAUGGUGGAGAAAAUCAACCUUACCUACCAGAGAAGAAGGUUGAGAUCGGAGAAAACACUAGUGUUUAAACAACUUCAGCUAGAAAUACUCUUUCUUUUUCUUCUUCCGUGUGUUUUAUUAUUCUUUACUUUGAGCUUCAAACUUCUUCUUCUUCUUCUUCAUGCUCUGAGAGUGAAUGAGUGGAGCAGAGGCACGAGCUUGAGAGAAUUCGAGAAUGAAAAUAUAUGAAGAGUGUGAUGAAUCUGAGUUUCUAAGAAUAUGAAGAGUGAUCUCGAGAUUGUGAAGAUUCAAUCCAAUUUAUAGAGGAUGAGCUUAACAGAGGGAUUAAACUCUGUUGAGUAUGUUAGUUAGAAGUGAUUCAAAGUUAGUUAUCAGCUGACUAACUCUAUUAGCUAGUUAGUUAGAGGAUAAUGGAAGUUAGUUCAGAUUCGAAUUUCUGUUAAUUCCAAAUUCAGUUGGUUCAACCUGCUUCUGUUAGUUCAGUUUUGAAAUGUUAGUUAAUUUUGAUUUGAAAUGUUAGUUAUUGACUGGCUGUUGCAAGUUAUCUAAGUGGAAUGGCUAUAGAUUGCAAAAGGGUGAUGACUUGCUGCAUAGGUCUUGGUUCAAAUGCAGGUCGUGUCUUUGGAAAUUGCAGGUGGUAAGUUUGGAUUUUACAAGCAAGUUGUGCCAAGGUGUAAUGCUACAGGUAAUUUGCUGAUGAUGAUGACCUAAUGUUGCAGGUCAUUUUUUGUAUGGACAUUGCAUGGUUUUGUAGGCUUGUUGUAGGUUAUGCCAAGGUGUGUGCAAAAGGUAUGUUCAUGACCUGUUGGGCUGGUUCUACCAUGUUGCUGGGAGAAAAAUGCAUACUAAGGGCAAGGCAAAGUUCAAGGUAUGGCAAACUUGGUGCAAAAUGGCUUUCUUGUUCAUGAAGCAAAAUGAUAAUGGUGUCACAUGGAAGGGAAAGAAACACUUUGUAAUUAGCAUUAGCAUUUAGAGGAUGAAAAAAUAGUUUGGUUGACUUUGGUCAACUAGUUGUCCAAAAAGUCAACAGUUGACCAAAAGUCAACUUUUUGUAAAAUAUGCAUUUUUUGGUAUUUUCUUUUGUAUGAAUGAUGUAAAUGCUAAUUGAAUGAAUGAAUGGAUAUUUGUUUGAAUAAAA